CGGAGCGGCCUGUCCGCAGGCCAGGGGUCGCAGGCGCGGCGCUGGCGGCUGCACAGGGAAGAGAGGGCCACGGCUUUCCCUUUAAAGCAGGAUCUGCUCGCCCCGAGCGUGCCCCAAGGCCAAGGCCCAGGGAGCCGGCGCCGCCCCCGGGGCGACAAGCCCGAGAGCCCCCCCUGUGGGGCCGGCGGGGCCGAGACAGCAAAAACGGGGCGGCCGUCCCUUUAAGGCAAGGCCUCAAGUUGUCCAGUCCCUGACUCCUUUAAGACGACCCGACGGUGUCCGACCGGCCUAGUUCGGUGGCCGCCCCCUACCAGGGGUCGAGACAAGUCUCCCCGAGGAAGAGGAAAGGCCACCCCUUUAAAAGGGGCCGAAAGCUCGCCCCGAAACGUCGACCUCCCCUUUAAAAGUGCCUCAAGUCCUCCGGCUAAAAAAGGCCACCCCUUUAAGGAGUCCAGGGUUCUCCAAACAGCAGGCCGCCCCUUUAAGGGCUCGGGAGUUAGUUUCUAGUCCUCCACAAACGGCCACUUCCCCUUUAAGUUGAAUUUAAAGGACUUCUUGCGUUGAGAAGUGGCGAUGAGAAUCCCCUACUCGCUCCAAUUCUCCCAACAGCACAGUUCUCAAUUUGUCAGCGUCUGUUCGGUGGCUUCCCCUUUAAAGGCUGGCGUUGUAGUCCGCCGAGAUCGGUGGCCACCCCUUUAAGGAGAUUUAAAGGGGCCUCUUCAAGGCCCAGCUCUUCCAGCCUCCGCCUCCGGUCGCCAUGAAAGGCGCGAGGUGGGGGGCGGGGCCGAGGGGGCCACCCCUCCAAAGCCCCGGAUGUGAGGCAACGGUGACGGGUAGAGCUUGUCUGUCUGCCGACAUAAAAGUCUCUUCCUUCUUUCCUCCGUCUCUGUCUGACGUUCGCCUUAAAGAAUCCGGAACGGCUGCUGGGCAGCUGGGGAGCUCCAGCUCACCCUCCUGUCGUCUCUUUUGGAGUCUUCGGCCUCUCCUCCGCCAGGACUUCCCUGCCCCUCCUCCCUCUUCCUCCUCAGCCUACGCCUCCUUCCUCUCUCUGUCUCCUCCCACUUUCCGCCCCCUACCCCUCACCCCUCUACAGGCUUAGCCGUUGAUAGGCUGAGAAGUGUACGUCAAGUUUAAGGGGCGGAGUCAAAUGCGGGAGGGAGGGAGUGAGUAAUAUGUAACCGCCCUCAAAUCUUGGAUUUGGUAUACGUCAGAUUAGCUCCGCCCCUCAUCAAGUCUUGUGACUCAACUGGUUAGAAGUAGGUACUUGGGGCGGUCCUCCAGGUGACCCCGCCUCUUCCUGCUCUUCGUUUAUUGGCUACUCUCCUGACGGCGUCUAGCCGAGGAUCUGGAUCUAGUGUGCGAGUCGUUGGGGGCAGUUGGCCGCUGGGUGGCGCGCGGCCGCGGAAGGACACUGUCGACUGUCAGUUAUGUCUUCUCUCCCUUUCUGCCACUUGGCUUAGUCCACAGGCUGUCUAGCUUCUCGCGCACGCGCGUGAUGCUACAACCAUCCGGCUGGCAGCUCAGCGGGAUCCCCCGCCGUGCCGGGUGGUUAGAGCACGCGGCUUGAGAGUGCCAGCCAUAAAGGAAGCUUUCGCGUCCCGUUACUGCUCGGUGCAGUAGGAGUGCUGGCCUGGGGUCUGCGUGCUAACAAGAAAAAAACAGUUUGCUUUGUGUGCCGGACAGCUUCUCACAUAGAAACUCACUUGACAGAAGUCUCCUGGAAGUUUCUAGGAUCUGCCAGGAGUGCUGCCUGAGGCAGACAGAUGGUUCUACAUGCAAACCACAUCCAUAUCAAACGGACUCCUCCAAGCUGGACCGAGAGGAAGCAGAGCCACACUCGGGACCUGAGCCUACACCUGCUUCAGAUCCAUGUACAACAAGCUUCUCACCUGACUGGC